CGGAGGGGGCUAACAACACCACGCGCGCCAGGCGAGCGGGUAAUUAAAGCACGGCAUUGGGCGCGCUAGCGAACCGCUGUGUGGGUACACCGGGGAAAGUUUGGGAGUUCAAAUAACCACAGACGGUUUUUAAUGCAAUCCGAAGGAAAGGGGAUCCCUGUUUUCAAGAGCAGAAGUUUCACAUAGCUGAGGCUGCGUCUGCAUCAUAAUCUAAUACUUCAGGGAAGGCGGCGCAGAGCAGCAGAUGCAUUUCAAAAAGCCUGCCUGCUGCGCUGUAACACUUCCGUGCCCAACCUAACCGCAAGUCCACGCUGCAUCUGUGCCAAAGUCGCAUUAUUUCUCUGCACUUAAGUGCUCCCCUCUGCAACAUGAACGCAGCAAGUCCUAAUCGACUCCGGAGCUUCCUACAAAGACCUCACUGGGAGAAUGGGUUGGCUAAAUGCAAGGGAUAACGUUACCAAUAAAAAUAGAGAUAAGAGCACAGAUGAAUCAGACUCUGAAAAUCCAAGAAGGCAUACCACAUGAACAAAAAUGGAUGCUAGCACAGCAGCGUAAACUCUCCAAAUAGGAGCUGAGGGAUAGCGGGGAUUUUUAAAAUUUUCAUCUUCAGCGGGAACUCUUUGAAAAAACCCUCUUUAUAAUAACAUUCAGCUCUGAUUAUUCCACCAAACAAUCUCAUAAAGUGUCUUUUACUGGAAAGGAAAUAAAUCCCCACCCGACAGGGCCAUAUCUCUGGCCAAGGCGCUAUCAAAGUAAGUCUGCCACAGGUGGGGUCAUCUCUGUAGAAGAAGCUGACGUUAAGGCAAAAGACAGAAAGAUCAUCCUUGCAGCGUCCGAUAAUUUUAACAAAAGGUAUCAAAACCCUUGCGUAACGAACUGACACCUACUUGGAGAAACACGGAGCCAAAUACUGAGCCAUGAAGCACUGCCAGCCCUUUCUUAGUCGUUUCCAAACAGCAUCCGAGAUGACGUUCUCAAGCAUUCCUUAACUAAUGGCUACCAGUUUCUGAAUCAAACCGCGCAACUGGCUUGCCUUGUGCAUCACCCACACCGGGUCAGACAUACUCGCAGCUCAGCACGACUCAUCGCAGGAGCCCGCACCUCACUGGCAACUAGGCCCAACCAUCACUGCCUUUAACUCCAGUCUAAAGCAAGUAAUGAACAUCCCUGACGCCCGGCAGAUUUCUUUCUUCGCCAGCGACAGAGCUGCAGGCCUGCUGAUGCCCCUCGUGAGCCAGGCGCAGAGCGCGGCCUGGAAAAUGCCCGCUGUCCUCAGCUCCCCUUGGAGUGCUAAGUGCACUUCCAUUUGAUGAAAUAGCUCCUUUCCAAGCAGGAGAGCAGAAAAUGGUACAUACUGUUCACUCGCAAAUGACCACAGUUGUCACAUCCACGGCUGCCAUGCAGUCCAUUCCUGGAAACAGCUCCUGAGCACAGGGAGCAGCAACCAAGAGCAACACGCAGUACCGAUGCGAGCAGUGACAGCCGGAAGCCAGGAAGCCAACACGCCUGGGAGAAGCUCAGCAUGAUCUACCAAGCAGUGAACCGAAUAGCUGGAAUUCAUGACUCACUGUUGACAAGCCAGAAGCAGAGCAUCCAUGUGAGAAACACCAAAACUCAGCGAGCCAGCGCCCACCUCUCCUGGGGGAGAGAGCACCCUGCCUGCCUUGGCAGCAACAGCAGACUGCAGUGCACUACGGAGACGCCUUGACUAGCUCAGGUACCAGAAGCUGGAUAGCUGCAUUCAGGUGGUACCUGCUCAAAUUAAUCUGUCUAGCCUGUCAGCAGGACUAAAGCAGUCCUGUAUAUUCUCUAUGUUUACAAAUAUACCCAAACCCUAAUGAUAUCAAAAGAUUUAAGUGUUCAAACAGUACUGGAAUAUAAGCAACACGAGCUUUGUGCCCUGCUCACACUGCCCUUCCCACCCUGCCACUUGUCGCCAUGUCUCCAGCUAUGAGGACAGGCAGAUACAGCCUCUGUUCUACCACAGCAGGAGGGGACAGGGGAUGAGGCUGGAGGCACUCCUGGAGAAGUGCCAGAGCAGAGCUGCUCUAUAUACAGGGUCAGUGGAGGUCUCUGAGUGACAUGGGAGAAUUAGGAGGGCUGGGCUGGGACACGGUGUCCAUAACUCAAGGAGUGAAGGCCUGACACUUGGGACUGUAAUCCUGUACGAUAGAAGUUAAGUCCCUCAGAGAGAUCCUGACCUCCAAGGAAGAUUACAUCAGAGAGUACAAUUAAUAUAGGACACUCGGUGAAAAGAGAAGGAUAACCUCACUGUUUCCACAGAGCCCCUGGAUACCUCCCUCCCUCUCGCUGCAGAUGUUCAGCUGUGCUGUGAUGCUUACUGGUAUCAGUGAUGUUUCGUGUUUUUUGGAAUCGGAGUUGUGCAGAACUCAAUGGUAGCAACUGCUGAAUCAGUAUGACCUGAACUACGCUGUAUAGGCCUGCUCAGAGUGCCUAGCACCUUCCUUCUCUAAGAAACGCACUUCAUUUUAAAAGUCCUGAAAGACAGGGGACAUCUCUUAUCCUAUUUCUAAUGUACUCCUUAGGGAAUUGGCUGAGAAACAGCCUUUAUGUUCAGUCCUUGCAAUAAACAGACAUAGUCCCACAAGGCAACAGAAGAAGGAGGGUGCUGUGGCAUCUAGAAGUGGGUAAACAUUUUAUGGGAGUAGGAACUGGCUGUAACAGAAAGAGCUCCUACCAUGGGCUUCAGUGUAAAAUCCCUGUAUUUCUGCAAAAGGCUCUUCAUCAGGGUCUACUAAAAAUUGUACUCUGCAAUAUCACUCUCUAGGCAGUGACACAUGGUAGGACACACCAAUGUGAAAGGUAGGACACCCCGAUGUAGGUAGGACACACCAAUGUGAAAGAUGAGGCCUGGAGCAGAGACCAAGCUAGUGAGCGCUGUUUGAUUUAUUAACUGAACUCCCGCACCAGAACGGAAGCUGCCAAGGACCAGUGCUUCCAUGAGGAUAUAGCAACAUCAGCAUGGAUGAACAGACACACCUCAGCUCUACUACUGCCCCCUUUGUCACUCAGCCCCUGGGCUGCCUCGCACUACCUGUCACGGCCACAUGCCCCGCUGUCCUGCGGGGCUGUGGCAGCAGCAGGGCUGGAGGAGUCAGCACCUAAAGAACCAGGGAAUGGGGUGGGAGAAGGAGGCAGCACAGAGAAAAAGAUGAUGGCAAUUAGCUCCACCUAAAAAAGUUUCUGAAGAGCCAUACCUGAACUGUCUAAAGCCUUCAAGACUGCUCUACAGUUUGUGGCUGAGUGUCUAAAAUGAUGCAGCACACCUGCAGCUCUCUGGAGACCACCGAUAAUUUACCAAAAAGACAACAUCCUGCUACAAUAACUUAACAGUGGAGCUAUCCAGGAACUAAGAUGUUUCUGCAGGGUGCAGAGCCUGUUUUAUUUUGUUUGAAUUUCAUGGCUAUUAACAUCCAUCCUAGGACUCAGUCAUGCUGGAUGCUCAGUUAUUCCGUUUAAGUUCUCCCAUAACCCCAGAGCACAGGUAAAUUACCCAUGUAUUUACACAUUUGCACAACCUGGCUAGGAACUGCAUGUUCUUCAUACCAGGGAUUCUGUGUUUUCCGAAGCACUCUCUGCACGUACUGACUAUACUGCAUGCCACUUUUAAGUAUGUAAUAAAUAGUAACCAUUAACUUUGAAUUGAAAUCAGAGGCCACCUAGAAAAGGAUAAAGCAGCUGCACGAAUGCAGAAACGAGCAGUUGUAAUGUCACCAAGGGUUUAGAAGCUGAAGAACAAAGAUCUCUACUGGUAUCAACUGACUGCUGAAAAAAAAGGCGGUAACGCCACCCUGCAGCAU